CUGGCGGCGUGCCUAAUACAUGCAAGUAGAACGCUGAAGAGAGGAGCUUGCUCUUCUUGGAUGAGUUGCGAACGGGUGAGUAACGCGUAGGUAACCUGCCUUGUAGCGGGGGAUAACUAUUGGAAACGAUAGCUAAUACCGCAUAACAAUGGAUGACACAUGUCAUUUAUUUGAAAGGGGCAAUUGCUCCACUACAAGAUGGACCUGCGUUGUAUUAGCUAGUAGGUGAGGUAAUGGCUCACCUAGGCGACGAUACAUAGCCGACCUGAGAGGGUGAUCGGCCACACUGGGACUGAGACACGGCCCAGACUCCUACGGGAGGCAGCAGUAGGGAAUCUUCGGCAAUGGGGGCAACCCUGACCGAGCAACGCCGCGUGAGUGAAGAAGGUUUUCGGAUCGUAAAGCUCUGUUGUAAGUCAAGAACGGGUGUGAGAGUGGAAAGUUCACACUGUGACGGUAGCUUACCAGAAAGGGACGGCUAACUACGUGCCAGCAGCCGCGGUAAUACGUAGGUCCCGAGCGUUGUCCGGAUUUAUUGGGCGUAAAGCGAGCGCAGGCGGUUUGAUAAGUCUGAAGUUAAAGGCUGUGGCUCAACCAUAGUUCGCUUUGGAAACUGUCAAACUUGAGUGCAGAAGGGGAGAGUGGAAUUCCAUGUGUAGCGGUGAAAUGCGUAGAUAUAUGGAGGAACACCGGUGGCGAAAGCGGCUCUCUGGUCUGUAACUGACGCUGAGGCUCGAAAGCGUGGGGAGCGAACAGGAUUAGAUACCCUGGUAGUCCACGCCGUAAACGAUGAGUGCUAGGUGUUGGAUCCUUUCCGGGAUUCAGUGCCGCAGCUAACGCAUUAAGCACUCCGCCUGGGGAGUACGACCGCAAGGUUGAAACUCAAAGGAAUUGACGGGGGCCCGCACAAGCGGUGGAGCAUGUGGUUUAAUUCGAAGCAACGCGAAGAACCUUACCAGGUCUUGACAUCCCGAUGCUAUUUCUAGAGAUAGAAAGUUACUUCGGUACAUCGGUGACAGGUGGUGCAUGGUUGUCGUCAGCUCGUGUCGUGAGAUGUUGGGUUAAGUCCCGCAACGAGCGCAACCCCUAUUGUUAGUUGCCAUCAUUCAGUUGGGCACUCUAGCGAGACUGCCGGUAAUAAACCGGAGGAAGGUGGGGAUGACGUCAAAUCAUCAUGCCCCUUAUGACCUGGGCUACACACGUGCUACAAUGGUUGGUACAACGAGUUGCGAGUCGGUGACGGCGAGCUAAUCUCUUAAAGCCAAUCUCAGUUCGGAUUGUAGGCUGCAACUCGCCUACAUGAAGUCGGAAUCGCUAGUAAUCGCGGAUCAGCACGCCGCGGUGAAUACGUUCCCGGGCCUUGUACACACCGCCCGUCACACCACGAGAGUUUGUAACACCCGAAGUCGGUGAGGUAACCUUUUGGAGCCAGCCGCCUAAGGUGGGACAGAUGAUUGGGGUGAA
rnacentral:rRNA from 1 species